UUGAUUGCGAAUCGUUGCCUCCAGUGCUGGCCGGCCUCGGCAAGUGCACGCUGGUGACUUUUUCAUCCAAACCCUGUGAACCUUUGGCCUCUUGCUAGCUUCGGCCGGCAGAGGAUUUUACACAAACUCGAAUGUAAUGAAAUUUAUUGUCGUGCGCAAGCACUAAUGUA
rnacentral:misc_RNA from 1 species